AUACGUAGGGGGCAAGCGUUAUCCGGAUUUACUGGGUGUAAAGGGAGCGCAGACGGCUAUGUAAGUCUGAAGUGAAAGCCCGCGGCUCAACCGCGGGACUGCUUUGGAAACUAUGUAGCUUGAGUGUCGGAGAGGUAAGCGGAAUUCCAAGUGUAGCGGUGAAAUGCGUAGAUAUUUGGAAGAACACCGGUGGCGAAGGCGGCUUACUGGACGAUAACUGACGUUGAGGCUCGAAGGCGUGGGGAGCAAACAGGAUUAGAUACCCUGGUAGUCCACGCGGUAAACGAUGAAUACUAGGUGUCGGUGCCCAAAGGGUAUCGGUGCCGUCGCAAACGCAGUAAGUAUUCCACCUGGGGAGUACGUUCGCAAGAAUGAAACUCAAAGGAAUUGACGGGG
rnacentral:rRNA from 1 species